GCUUUGAUUAAGCAUGUAUUUUGGUUCGGAUUUGUAAAAUAACCUUUUGAGAGUUGAGGAUUGACUUGUUACGGAUGUAAUUGGUUAGUGACAUGGAGGAUGGAAGCAGGGUCUGCAAAAUGAAAGGAAAGUUAUGAUUGUGAGGAUUGUUGCGAGAUAACGAAAGAACAAAAAGCACUUUUCUUGAAUUCAUAAAUUCUAUUAAAGCAAAGAAAUAAAUAUUAAGUCGCAUGGUAACUUUUUUUUUUUUAGCUUAUUCUAUUAAAGAAAUAAGUUGGAAUCAACUGAAUAAGAAGACACAUGACUUUCUUAUUUUGAAUUACAUUACAAUCUAGUAAUAUUUAUUAUUACAAUAAAACAAAGAUGUGCCUGACCAGAACUUUGUUCUUAAUAAUCAUGAGGCGCGUAUGUGUUGAAGUUGCUUGAAUUGUUUCUGUGCUGCUACGUUGGCGUUGCUAGAAGUUUCGGCUUCAUCUUCCCCUAAACAAGGGAGAAGGUGAAUAAGAGUAGUUAUUACAUAACCAAAAAGUGGAAGAGAUGAACAAAUAUUAAAGGCUUCCCUGAGAUUCAUAUCUGAGCUUAUGGGUUAUGAUGCUCUCAGCAAUAAUAAUAAUAAUAAUAAUAAUAAGCUUUAAUUAAUUGAAGAUAGCACAAGUUGUAUCAUU
rnacentral:lncRNA from 1 species